ensembl:lncRNA
CCAUUACGCACCUGCUUGCUGUGUUCCAUGGGCCUUACUUCUUUUCCUGCUCCAAGUGGCCCACACGCACUCUGCAGAGCACUUCUUUUAGAGUACUUUUUCUUCUAGAAUGUUUCUUUUGCAUUUCAUUUUCAUCUUCUUUUGCCCUAUAUAAAUGUUAAACUUUCAUGUUCACCACCUGUUCCAUCUAAUUCUUUAAAACAGGACAGUAGGCAUCUGGAAAGGACCCACUGCUCACUACAACACCCAGUGACAUCAGGAUUACAGGGAGACUGCUCAACUUUUCUGUGCUGCCUUUCUUCUGAAGAUAAAAAAGUUAGUGUCCAGAAGCAGGAUCCUGAAAAGCAGAAUCGAGAAGACGACUUUAGGAUGCAUGUUGGCAGUAAGGAAAUUUGAAAACAAGGCAAAGUCCGAUGUUCACAAACAGGAGCAAGCUACUUGUCCCCCAAAGCAGCCAACUUUCCCUGGGUGAGGAGUAGCCAGGAAGAAUUCUUCUAUAUCCUAGGAGUUUGGGAAUAUCCUAUUGUUCUCUUUUUUCCCUCGAGACACUAAUCAUCACUACAAUUCACCUGAGAAUUAUUCUAAUGAUCCAGCAGAGGAUUGACAAGGGAAAGGAAAUAUCUGAAAUUUUUGCACAGAUUUUGGGUGAUUACAUAAAAAUUAGUGGCUAACAAAUCUAUUCAGCUCUAGAUUAGACACAGUUACAGACACAGACAUGCUUAAGAUGUGUACCUAUCUCUCAAGGAGUUUACAGUCCAGUUGUUAAUUUUCAGCCAAACUUUCCAAGUAGUAUUCUCAUGUCUAGGUAUUGCCUUGGUCUGUCUGAUGUAGAUAAACUGACAUGCUAUAUCUUCUAUUUUCAGAACAAGAUGUAAAAGCAACAGGUUCUCAAAAGCCUGAAAAUCACUUUACUGUCUGUGUUUUUCUCUGCUGGCAAAUCUGAAGCUCCAAAGUUGAGCUAUUUUAUUAAACACUGCUCUAUUAUACUACCCUAAAAUGGUAAGAGGGUCCCUAUUCUGCUAAUUAGGCCACCCCUUUGCAGUCCACUAAUAGAUUACAAAGCCACAGAUUGGAGAAUAUUCUGAAGUUUUAGUGAAAUUAAAGUUUAUUCAUUUGCUCUUCUAAUAUUAUAAUUCCUACAUUUAAAAUGAAAAAAGUAGAAUUCAAAGACAAAUGCACAUGCAUAAUGUCAUCCAACUAAUUUGGAGCCAAAGCCCAGCCUUUGCACUAUGCCACCUCCCACCCCAAACCCAACUCACUAGGCAUGUUGGUAGAACAGAUAGUGGGAAUAUAAGAUUCUCUCAAGGGCAAAUAGCAGAAGGUCCCACUAAAAUGGCUUAAAUAAUCUUAGAUCCUGAGUUUAGAGGUAUGCCCAGAUUAUGUACUUUCACAGGUCAAACACAUUAUCAAAGACUGAGGUUCUUUCUGGGUUUUUUGCUCUGAUAUUCUCAGUGUGUUGUCUAUUUUCUUUUCUUUUUUUUGGUACCAGGGAUCAAACUUGGGAUCUUGCGCUUCUGAAGCAGGCAGUGGAAACACUGACAAAAAUCCCAGCCCAAUUUUCAAGUAGUUCUUUCCACUGGUUCAACAGCCAUAUCCUUAGGAAGGAUUUCCCAUGCCCAGAAGAGACUACUAUAUAUGUCUUCCUCUCCCACCUCUUAAGAGUAAGGGAUGAUUUCCCAGAAGUUGCUCGUGUCUCCUUGUAUUAGGUGGAAACCCCUUGUGUCUGUCCAGACCUAAUCAUUGGCAAGUAUAGAGGACUUAUAAUACAAGGUGCUGGAGCCAGGCUGCAUGUCUCAGAAAUACUUGAUCUCAUAAGGCCUGGACAAAAUCUGAACAACUGAGUAGACAUCAAAAGUUCCUUUUAUAAUAGGUGUGUAAAAACUUCCUAGAAAGUGAAGAGUUUUCUCUUAAGCCUCCCAUACCCCUUGUUCGGAGUUAAAGGCCUGGUUCCUCAACUUCUACUCUGCUUCCUGCUCUCUUCCAGCUGCCUUUGGCCCCUUUUCCAUCUUAGCUCCUGCUUAUGAAUCUCUAAACCAUUCUAGGCCAAUUCACACCCUCCCUCACCCAUUAUGUACCAUUCAUCUCAUUCAUUCAUUAAUUUAGGCAGUUACUCAGUUACAUUUUUCCUGUGUUAUGAAUACUCACUAUAAGACAGACAGUAAAUUGAGCUCUAGAGAAACAAGAGGACACGGACCCUAUCUGUAACACCCAAAGCCCAAUUUUUAAUAGUGCAAACACACCUGGCAUCUGUCAUUCAGCAUACACAGGAUAGCAUAUGGGUCUCUAAGAAACGGAGCCUGAGGGAGGGAUCAAGACAAUAAGAGUUAAUUUUGGAGGUGCAAGCUUUUAAGCAGAGUGAGAGAGAGAAAAAGAUUAAGGCAAAUUGAGGCAAGUGAAGUAAGGACAAGCGACGUGAAGCGAUGUGUUGUCAGGUUUCUAUACUGGCCACUGCUUUUCGUUGCAAGGGACAUUGUAUGUCACUCGGUAGAUGCUUUUGCAGGCCUCAAAAUGAUGAGAUUCAAAAGGAGACCAUGCCUCAAUGUGGUUGGGAGAAGAAAAAUUAUCUUCUGGUCUUUCCUAUCUCUAGAUCUCAAUGGUCAGAGGAACUCCAUGAGGAAUUCUCCUUUGAAUGUCUAGGUUGUUUCAUUU